GUGUAGUCAGGCUGUGUGUUAGCAUUUUAAUAAUCCAGUUUCCAAGAUGAUGCUUCUGUAUGCAGUGCUGCUGCACUGCACCUUUGUGCACUAUCCUUCUCACCCUAUGCAGCCAGGUCCCACCUACUUUUUAACUCCUCGCAAGUGUGGCUUCUUUGGUGUCUGCUGUGAAGGAAUACCACAAGUCAACUACUUGAUUGAUGAAGGCAUGUCAUCCAGCAAAGGCAGCAGCGCAGUCAUCAACUACAUGCACCAUUUCUUCUCCAACUACGGAGUUUGGGAAACACGUGUGGACCUGAAUUGUGAUAACUGCAGUGGCCAAAACAAGAACAAGUUUGUGCUCUGGUAUUGUGCCUGGCGGACCAGGCACAAGCUCCACCACAGUCUGGACCUUCACUUCCUGAUUACAGGCCAAACCAAGUUUGCCCCUGACUGGUGCUUAGGCCUCAUCAAGCAGCGCUUUAGAAAGACCAGAGUGAACACUUUGUCUGAGAUUGCUGGUGUUGUGAAGGACAGCACAGUGACAGGGGGCAACAUACAGCUGGUUGGACUGGAGGAUGGUAUGGUGCUGGUGGAAAGCUACGGCUGGCAACAACACCUGACUCCGUACUUCAGGCCACUGCCACAGAUCAAGCAGUACCAGCACUUCGGCUUUGAUGCUCUGAGCCUGGUGUUGUCGCCAAGGAGUGUUCGGACUCAGUGGGGAUCAGGUAUCAGCUGCUGCGCAACGUUGACAUCCUUCCUCCCAUUGAUGGUCUGCCUGUACAAGCACCUCCUGGACUGGACACAGCUAGACAAACAUAUAUUUUUUAGAAUAUCAAGGAGCUUUGAGAUGAGGGUAUGGACAUCACAUGCCCUGCACCAAAGUCAAGGGCAGGACAGAAACAGGUUCUCUGAAUAUAGAUUCCCUUGAUCGUGCGUGGUUCGGACGGACCAGUCAUCAGCACUUUCUGCAGUGCCUCAAUUCAAAUGACUCUCUCCUAACACACACGCCAUACGUUGCUGCUACUACUGCUGAUCAGUCACUUUACCCCUGAUUGUAUGCAUAUAACUACCUCAUCUAUCACUGACAUUUUUAUUGAUAUUGUUCUUGUACAUACUGUAUAUUAUUUUAUUUAUAUUGACACAAUCUAUUUCUGAUAUUGCUACUAUGUAAGUAACCAUUUGGCCCUACCAUUUACACUUAUUGUAGAGACCAUCCACUUAGCAAGUUGUGGCUGGGGGUGAAAGCAUUUCUUUCACAUGACCCAUCAAUUUAGACAAGUGUGUCUGGGUAAGCGUCAUCUAAUAUUUAUAACAUAUUUUUAUCUGGGCACUUUGUUUACCUGGAAUUUUUCUUUUUUGUAUGCUACUACUUUUAGUAGCCAACAAAUAAAAACAUUGCAGCCCAAAGGUAGAAAAUAUCCUGAUGAAAAUAAAUAUCC
ensembl:lncRNA